CCCUGGAGCUGGGGGGCUUAGGGGGGGGGGGCCCAAGAGGAGGCCGGGGGCCCUGGCAGGCAGGAGCAGCCGCAGCCCGGAUAAGAGCAAGGGAGCAUAGAAAAAGAAGCGGACCCAGAAGGAGUGAACCCCAAAUUUUCCAAGUGGACCUGUGACAUCCUCGUGUGACCUCCUGACCUUGUCCAUUUUGGCUGUACCUGGCUUUGUCUGUCUGACAAUCUGCUUUCCUCGUGCGUCGCAGCUGUGCAACAGUGCUUGAAGAACAUGCUUGUCUGCGUUAGUGGCACAUCCCAGUACCUCAUGUUUGUAGUCAUUUUCUCUGGAGCAAUGUGAAGGGAUUUGCUUUUUCCAUCCCUCAUUCUGCAAAAGCUUCAUCGUAGCUGCACCUCUCGUUGUUCCUGCAAAGCUCCGCAAAGUGGCAUGCGGUGCAUUACAAGUUGCAGCACUGUGCAUGUUGCCACUGCCUCUUUGGCUGAGCUGCAACAACAGCUGCUGCUUCCCCAGUGAACUGAGAUCUGCUCAAAACCCCACAAGUCCCGUGCAUUACUUGCUGUUGUUGCAAGAGCCUCCCUACCUGUUCUCACCUCUGUCGUUGCAGCACCCUCUUUCUCCAUGCAGUGUGGCCUUGUUGGUGUGAAGUUUGCACCCAUGCACAGCUGUGCAAAAAGUGAGCAUGACAAUCUAGCCAGUCUGCAUGCCGCAGGGGAGGCCUCCCCAUUGGCCACCAAACCUCCAAAAUUGUCUCACUUUAUGUCUCCUCAUCUGUUCCUCGCGGCUUUGUCACGACAAUUGUGAUGCUUUCCUCCUGUGGUUGUUUGUGCCCUGCGUAACCAAUGAUAGUCAACCUGUGGCUCCAAAAAGGCCAGCAAUCAAAUCUUUUAAAAUUAAAUUAAAUUAAAUUUUGCACCAGUGUGCAUCCUUCUCCGCCUGCCCAGAUCUUUGGGAUUCAAAACAGCAGCAACGUGGAGGAGAGGUCUUGACGGUGCACAGCCACAAGAGAGCGCAUUGUCUCUGCAGCAGUGGAAAAGCAGGCGCAUGCAUUGAAAGGUUUUGUGUGUGUGUGUGAAUAACACUUGGCUCUCCUGGUGUGUAAGAUCAACAGCAGCCAGGAAAGAAAAAUAAGACAGCGGAAAUACACACACACACACACACACACACACACACACACGAGACACUAUAAUCCUGGCGUUCAUCUUCUUUGCUGAAGAAGAGACAUUGGGAGCCCAGCUGUGGAGGACGAGGAGGGAAGCAUGGGGCUGACAGGUGAAGCUGGGGGAAAGAUACUUUUCUGGACUACAACAUUCAGGAUCCUACAGCCAGUGUGGCCACACGGAUGGGCGGAUUCUGUACUUGCUAUUGCUAUUCUGAGUAUUACAGCCCAAACAGGU